GACGAACGCUGGCGGCGUGCCUAAUACAUGCAAGUUGAGCGAUGAAGAUUGGUGCUUGCACCAAUUUGAAGAGCAGCGAACGGGUGAGCAACGCGUGGGGAAUCUGCCUUUGAGCGGGGGACAACAUUUGGAAACGAAUGCUAAUACCGCAUAACAACUUUAAACAUAAGUUUUAAGUUUGAAAGAUGCAAUUGCAUCACUCAAAGAUGAUCCCGCGUUGUAUUAGCUAGUUGGUGAGGUAAAGGCUCACCAAGGCGAUGAUACAUAGCCGACCUGAGAGGGUGAUCGGCCACAUUGGGACUGAGACACGGCCCAAACUCCUACGGGAGGCAGCAGUAGGGAAUCUUCGGCAAUGGACGAAAGUCUGACCGAGCAACGCCGCGUGAGUGAAGAAGGUUUUCGGAUCGUAAAACUCUGUUGGUAGAGAAGAACGUUGGUGAGAGUGGAAAGCUCAUCAAGUGACGGUAACUACCCAGAAAGGGACGGCUAACUACGUG
rnacentral:rRNA from 1 species